CGAGCGGCUGACAAUCAGCUACCAGCUACCAGCUACCAUUGGGCUUCCGAUGGAGCAACAGCCUUAGUUCAGCUCGGCUCACGUUGCGUAUGCGUAAUAUUGUUAUGCCACAUCCUUGCACGCUCCUCCAAGGAAAGUUUGCACAAGAAAUUCAAGCAAUGAUCAAGUGUACAUUUUAAUGAAGCCGCCUUCGUACAAACGCAGACAUACUCGUUCUCGUAUAUAUUUAUGUAUGUAUGUAAAUUUGUAUGUAAAUACAAUAAAUUGCGCACCGAAAUCAACUCUAUUGCAUGCCAAUUUCCGGACCAAAAAUAUGAACGAUUUUCAUAUGCUUGGCAGUGGGCAAAAGUUUUUUCAUUAAAACUCUCGAAUGGUGGCAAGUGGCAAGUUUGGCCAGAGAAGUGGGUAAAAGCCCAGCUGGGCUAAGUGAGUGCAAAAUGUUAUUUUAUUGUCAACAAGCAAAGUUGCCACAACCACUCCGAAGACGAAAACCAGAGCCGCAGGACUUGCCGUGGCGGAUGUCAAAUUUAUUUAAUAUGCAGCAUAAACAAAGCAGCCAGGACACGACGACACGCUCGUAAACUCAUUUGCCAGCGGAAACAACGGUUCCCACCGGCUGCUGUUGGCAAUUUUUUAAUACGACCUCAAGGACCUCCUGCUCCAAGUCCUGUCUUCAUUCGCCUUAUGAAAAGGCAUUGACUAAUGGAACUUUAAACAUCCAGUUUGCUUGUUUUAAAUGAUUGUUAGCUUGUAAUUGUAAGUUAAUGGACUUGCGUUUACUUUUCAUUUAACACAAAAACAAUUGUUUUGAUAAAAUAUUUUAAAUUUGCUGGCAACGAAAGUUAAUCAGGGUUUUUAUGCUCGCAGCUGCCGCUCUUCAUCAUCAUUUAUGAAAACAUUUCAGCGUUUCAGGUCUGGUUAACAUGCAAAUUUCAGCGGCAAACUAGUUGCUAACUUUUUAAAGACGCUCUAAAAGCUCAUAUUGAAUUCUUGCCAUCCGGCAAUCAUGCUUCGUACUCCAUCUGGCUAAACCAAAGCCAUCGGAGAAUGGAAAUGGUGAUGGGGCCCAGAAAAAACAAGCACAAUCAUCCAUAUGCAUGAUGCAUGUCGGUAAUGGCAUUUCCAAGCCAACGACAAGUUGCUUAAAAAAUCAUCCAAAAAUUCGCGUUAAGUGCUAGAGGUUUGGCGGCUCCUCCCCUCAUCCACAUCCACAUCCACAUCCACAACCUCACCACAUCCGCGUCCGUAUCCAGUGCCACAUCCCCCUCCUACGUUCGCCUCCGCCACAUCGCUAUAUCAUGCACAUCUGUCAUGCUCUUUGCUGCAGAUGCGGUUAGAGAAAUGCACGAAAAUGGAAAAGGGCCAGGAACGGAACUGAAACCGCACUCAAAAAGCUGAAAGCGGCAAGAAAUUGGGUACUGGCACAUUCCCCUUAAAGCUUGAACUCAAUAUGUGCAUAACUUUCGCUUUCCGGCGACAGAACCCUCCCCCCAUCCCAUUCCUUUGCCUCCUUUGUCCCAGGCAAUCUGUGACCCAAAUCCAAGGACCGACCGCCUUAAAGCCUAAACAAACUGUGUCAGUUGGCAGGCACUCCCACCGGGUCCUACUCCCCCACUUGACUUUUGGGCCCAAUCCCGCUCCUUCGACAACACUAUACACCCCCCUUAUAUUCUUUGCCACUCGCAUCAAAAGGCAAAUAUUGGCACUUGCCGCAAUAACCAGGUAAGCUCCGGCUGAGUUGCCCUCCAUCGCAGACUUGAAAAUGGGUCACACCACAGUGGUGACCAGGAAAGCAGGGGCACUACCUUAAGACUAUCAUGUAAUAUAUUUUAUAUCUCUGUUUUUCAAGCAUGUGAAGUACAAUUAUUACAGUUACCAAGAUCUUCACUUUUCAGAUAAAAUAAAACGUAUGUUAACUUAAGUUUGUUUUUUCUUUGGUUUCGCAUAUUUUUAAGGCUAUAAAAAGUAAAGGAAAUGUGUAUUUAAGACUC